rnacentral:rRNA from 1 species
UACGGAGGGUGCGAGCGUUAAUCGGAAUAACUGGGCGUAAAGCGCACGCAGGCGGGCUUUUAAGUGGGAUGUGAAGUCCCCGGGCUUAACCUGGGAAUAGCAUUUGAGACUGGGAGUCUAGAGUACUGUAGAGAGGGGUAGAAUUCCACGUGUAGCGGUGAAAUGCGUAGAGAUGUGGAGGAAUACCGAAGGCGAAGGCGGCCCCUUGGACAUGGACUGACGCUCAUGUGCGAAAGCGUGGGGAGCAAACAGG